UACGUAGGGGCAAGCGUUGUCCGGAAUCAUUGGGCGUAAAGCGCUCGCAGGUGGUUCAUUGCGUCGUGCGUGAAAGACCCCGGCUCAACUGGGGAGGGUCGUGCGAAACGGGUGAACUAGAGGCCAGUAGGGGGAUGUGGAAUUCCGGGUGUAGUGGUGGAAUGCGUAGAGAUCCGGAGGAACACCAGCGGCGAAGGCGGAGCAUCCUGGACUGGUCCUGACACUCAGGAGCGAAAGCGUGGGGAGCGGAGUACGG
rnacentral:rRNA from 1 species